rnacentral:rRNA from 1 species
GCAGCAGUUAGGAAUCUUCUGCAAUGCGCGAAAGGUGACAGAGUGAGUCAGAGUGUCUGCCUUUUGGUAGACUUUUGUGGAAUGUAAAGAGUUCUACGAAUAAGGACUGGGUAAGACUAGUGCCAGCCGCCGCGGUAAUACUAGCGGUCCAAGUCGCAGCCACUUUUAUUGGGUCUAAAACAUCCGUAGCUUGCUUGAUAAGUCUUUUGUGAAAUCCUGUAUCUCAAGUAUAGGACUUGCGAAAGAUACUGUUAGGCUAGAGACCGGGAGACGUAAGGAGUACGUUCGAAGUAGCGGUAAAAUGUGUUGAUCUCGGACGGACUAACGAGAGCGAAGGCACCUUACGAGAACGGAUCUGACAGUAAGGGAUGAAGGCCAGGGUCGCGAAACGGAUUAGAUACCCGUGUAGUCCUGGCAGUGAACACUGCACACUAAACAUUGGGAUCUCCUCGAGAGAUUUCAGUGCUGAAGGGAAGCUCAAGAGUGUGCUACCUGGGAAGUAUAGUCGCAAGGUCGAAACUUAAAGGAAUUGGCGGGGAGACACUACAACGGGUGACGCGUGCGGUUCAAUGAGAUUAUACACCGUGAACCUCACCAGGAGCGACAGCAGAAUGAAGGUCAGUCUGAAGGGCUUACCUGACACGCUGAGAGGAGUUGCAUGGCCGACGUCAGCCUGUGCUGUGAGGCGACCUGUUAAAUCAGGUAACAGGCAAGACCCUCGUGCUUAUUUACUAUGUGUACAAUAAGUAGAUUGCCGUGGUAACACGGAUGAAAGUGAGGGCUACGUUAGGUAGUACAGCCCGAAUCCCCUGGGUAACACGCGCGCGUCAAAGGUAGAUGCAGCGGGAUGCGACUCUGAAAAGAGAAGCUAAUCCCUUAAUGUCUAUCUCAGUCUAGAUUGAGGUUUGCAACCCAGCCUCAUGACACUGGAAUCCGUAGUAAUCGGACGUUAGCAGCAUCCGGUGAAUAAGUCAC